rnacentral:misc_RNA from 1 species
UGUCAUUUUACUUCCUGUUUUGCGAUCAGAAGGCAAACACAGGGGGAGGAGAGGAGAUGAGGUACUAACGGAACAUUGGAGAACCUUGUUUACCCAACAAGACUACAAUUUUUUCAAUUUUUCGUGUAAAACCGUCGCAAAAAUGAUAAAGAAAGACGCAGUUAAGAAGCACAUGAAUCGUAUGAGGCAACUUGCUAAUCAGAAUUUAGGAAGAGCUGAAAAGACAGAGGUCCUCAACCAAGACUUGCAACAGUGUGAAAAACGAGUGGAACAAAUCAAGCAUGCUUGUCAGAACACGAGUAAAAAACUUUCAGCAUGUCAGCAAAGUCAAGGAACAGAUGUUGAGAAACGAAUGAAAAAACUUCCACAGCAUGCAUUAGCUCAAACAAUGGAAGAAAGUGGAAAAGAACUUGGAGAAAAUUCAAUAUUUGGAAAUAUGCUUCUCCAGGCCUCAGAUGUAUCAUUUAGCUUAGCCCUUGAACUUACAAGUUUUGAGACAAGUAUGGAGAAAUUUGUCAUCGCCCCUUUAAGCAGUGUACUUGAGAAUGAAAUUCCAGCAAUUGCAUCGGUAAAGAAAAGAUUGACUAAAUUAACUCUGGAUUUAGACUCUUCCAAAUCAAGGUACCAUCAAGCUGUCCGAGGCACAACGUAUGGAAAAACAAAUUUUGCUGAAAUGGCAAGUAAAACAGAAUCUCUGAAAACAGAGCAAGAAGAAUCGCAACACAAAGUAAACCAAACAAGGGACCAACUUUCAAUGGAGAUGAUGACGCUGAUAACGAAAGAAGGAGAAUUAGCAAGGACACUCAUAGACUUUGUCGAAGCUCAAGCUCAGUACCAUAGAAACGCCCUUACAAAAUUAGAACGAAUGAUUCCUGCCAUGAAGGAGAUUCUGGAGCAUGACGCUUUACAGCCGAUAUUCGGUUGCCCGCUAGAGGAUCAUCUUAAGAUUACGGAGCGGGAGAUAGCGUUGGUUAUUGAGGCAUGUGUCAUCACACUUGUCACAUUUGGUCUGGAGGAAGAAGGACUUUUCCGUCUGGCGGGCAGUCAGUCAAAAGUUAAAAAGUUAAAAGCAAUGUUUGAUUCCUGGGUUGAAAUUGAUAUGGCCGAAUAUGAAACUGAUUUACAUGCGGUUGCUGGAAUUUUGAAAAUGUAUCUUCGUGAGCUUCCAGAGCCAUUGCUGACCAACGAAUUAUAUGAUGAAUUCCUGCAGGCAGGGAGUAUAUCAGAUUCUGACAGAAGACUGCAAUCUUUAUGGACAGUAGCAAAUAAACUACCAAGCUACAAUAAUAAGAAUUUUAGGUAUUUGAUAAAGUUUCUAAAGAAAGUUUCUGAGCACAGUGAAGUGAAUAAAAUGAGUACGUCAAACCUAGCUCUGGUCAUUGCUCCCAACAUACUGUGGUCGGAAAAAGAACGAGGAGUUUCUGUAACAUCAACUGCAAUGGCUUCUCAAAUUGUUGAAUCCUAUAUUACUUAUGCAGAUUGGUUCUUCCCAGAAGAAAUUGAAUUUGAGGUAUCUGAUGCAUGUCCAAAUAAACGAAAUUCAAUGGAAAGGACCACGCCGGUAGCUGAUCAAACAGAUGCUGGCCACUCACCUGCACAGACUAAAGUCACUCCACAGCAGUCCCAAUCACCUAAAGAGGUUGUCCAGACCCCCACUUCAACUGUUACAACCCCUCUUCUUAACGACACACAUGCACCUACAGAAAGAUAUCAAGCAGAGGUUUCCACAGCGGGACAGUCAACAGAAACGCAAGAAAAUAUUCCACGACAAAAGCGCCGAGCCCCGCUGGCUCCAGGUAGAGGCCCUAAACCUUCCACCUUUGAGCGAGAUGCUGCUAAGCCCACUAAGCCCAAAUAAACAUUCACUGUAAACUCUUCUAGCCACAAGAAUGAGUGUAUUUCAUAUUGAUAGAUUUAAAGUAUUUUGGACAAGGCCUGUACCAGCGAAAAGACCAAGCAAAAGAAAAGCACCAAAAGCACCAGCAAUCGGCACGUCAUUGUCCUCUCCGACCUCAACACUGACCAGGCAACACAGCGAUCAUUCGUUGUCACCGAA